UCAUCUUGAAGCUGCAAAAAAAGUGUUUAUUUUAUCGUUUCCUCAAUUAUUUGAUCUCAAUUUAAGGAUUUGCUUGAUGGAAAUGGCAUAGAUGGGUGAUAUAUGGUGGAUAAACAAUUUAACUGCUCUGCUGGUUUUUAUGGAAUAUUAAAGGACCACCAUAGUGCCAGGAAAACAAACUUUUUCCUGGCACUAUAGGGUCUUUAGGUCCCUCCCACCCUCAG